UACGUAGGGGGCAAGCGUUGUCCGGAAUCAUUGGGCGUAAAGAGCGUGUAGGCGGCCCGAUAAGUCCGCCGUGAAAGUCCAGGGCUCAACCCUGGAAUGCCGGUGGAAACUGUCGGGCUGGAGUCCGGAAGAGGCGAGUGGAAUUCCUGGUGUAGCGGUGAAAUGCGCAGAUAUCAGGAGGAACACCGGUGGCGAAGGCGGAUCUCUGGGCCUGUCCUGACGCUCGAGGCGCGAAAGCUAGGGGAGCAAACAGG
rnacentral:rRNA from 1 species